rnacentral:rRNA from 1 species
GGUUAAGCGACUAAGCGUACACGGUGGAUGCCCUGGCAGUCAGAGGCGAUGAAGGACGUGCUAAUCUGCGAAAAGCGUCGGUAAGGUGAUAUGAACCGUUAUAACCGGCGAUGUCCGAAUGGGGAAACCCAGUGCAAUUCGUUGCACUAUCGUUAACUGAAUACAUAGGUUAACGAGGCGAACCGGGGGAACUGAAACAUCUAAGUACCCCGAGGAAAAGAAAUCAACCGAGAUUCCCCCAGUAGCGGCGAGCGAACGGGGAGCAGCCCAGAGUCUGAAUCAGCUUGUGUGUUAGUGGAACGGUCUGGAAAGUCCGACGGUACAGGGUGAUAGUCCCGUACACCAAAAUGCACAGGCUGUGAACUCGAAGAGUAGGGCGGGACACGUGGUAUCCUGUCUGAAUAUGGGGGGACCAUCCUCCAAGGCUAAAUACUCCUGACUGACCGAUAGUGAACCAGUACCGUGAGGGAAAGGCGAAAAGAACCCCGGCGAGGGGAGUGAAAAAGAACCUGAAACCGUGUACGUACAAGCAGUGGGAGCACCUUCGGGUGUGACUGCGUACCUUUUGUAUAAUGGGUCAGCGACUUAUAUUCUGUAGCAAGGUUAACCGUAUAGGGGAGCCGCAGGGAAACCGAGUCUUAACUGGGCGUUAAGUUGCAGGGUAUAGACCCGAAACCCGGUGAUCUAGCCAUGGGCAGGUUGAAGGUUGGGUAACACUAACUGGAGGACCGAACCGACUAAUGUUGAAAAAUUAGCGGAUGACUUGUGGCUGGGGGUGAAAGGCCAAUCAAACCGGGAGAUAGCUGGUUCUCCCCGAAAGCUAUUUAGGUAGCGCCUCGUGAACUCAUCUUCGGGGGUAGAGCACUGUUUCGGCUAGGGGGUCAUCCCGACUUACCAACCCGAUGCAAACUACGAAUACCGAAGAAUGUUAUCACGGGAGACACACGGCGGGUGCUAACGUCCGUCGUGAAGAGGGAAACAACCCAGACCGCCAGCUAAGGUCCCAAAGUCAUGGUUAAGUGGGAAACGAUGUGGGAAGGCACAGACAGCCAGGAUGUUGGCUUAGAAGCAGCCAUCAUUUAAAGAAAGCGUAAUAGCUCACUGGUCGAGUCGGCCUGCGCGGAAGAUGUAACGGGGCUAAACCAUGCACCGAAGCUGCGGCAGCGACACUAUGUGUUGUUGGGUAGGGGAGCGUUCUGUAAGCCUGCGAAGGUGACCUGUGAGGGUUGCUGGAGGUAUCAGAAGUGCGAAUGCUGACAUAAGUAACGAUAAAGCGGGUGAAAAGCCCGCUCGCCGGAAGACCAAGGGUUCCUGUCCAACGUUAAUCGGGGCAGGGUGAGUCGACCCCUAAGGCGAGGCCGAAAGGCGUAGUCGAUGGGAAACAGGUUAAUAUUCCUGUACUUGGUGUUACUGCGAAGGGGGGACGGAGAAGGCUAUGUUAGCCGGGCGACGGUUGUCCCGGUUUAAGCAUGUAGGCUGGUUAUCCAGGCAAAUCCGGAUAAUCAAGGCUGAGGUGUGAUGACGAGGCACUACGGUGCUGAAGUAACAAAUGCCCUGCUUCCAGGAAAAGCCUCUAAGCAUCAGGUAACAUUGAAUCGUACCCCAAACCGACACAGGUGGUCAGGUAGAGAAUACCAAGGCGCUUGAGAGAACUCGGGUGAAGGAACUAGGCAAAAUGGUGCCGUAACUUCGGGAGAAGGCACGCUGGUGUGUAGGUGAAGUCCCUGCGGAUGGAGCUGAGACCAGUCGAAGAUACCAGCUGGCUGCAACUGUUUAUUAAAAACACAGCACUGUGCAAACACGAAAGUGGACGUAUACGGUGUGACGCCUGCCCGGUGCCGGAAGGUUAAUUGAUGGGGUUAUCCGUAAGGAGAAGCUCUUGAUCGAAGCCCCGGUAAACGGCGGCCGUAACUAUAACGGUCCUAAGGUAGCGAAAUUCCUUGUCGGGUAAGUUCCGACCUGCACGAAUGGCGUAAUGAUGGCCAGGCUGUCUCCACCCGAGACUCAGUGAAAUUGAACUCGCUGUGAAGAUGCAGUGUACCCGCGGCAAGACGGAAAGACCCCGUGAACCUUUACUAUAGCUUGACACUGAACAUUGAGCCUUGAUGUGUAGGAUAGGUGGGAGGCUUUGAAGCGUGGACGCCAGUCUGCGUGGAGCCAACCUUGAAAUACCACCCUUUAAUGUUUGAUGUUCUAACGUUGGCCCCUGACCGGGGUUGCGGACAGUGUCUGGUGGGUAGUUUGACUGGGGCGGUCUCCUCCCAAAGCGUAACGGAGGAGCACGAAGGUUAGCUAAUCCUGGUCGGACAUCAGGAGGUUAGUGCAAUGGCAUAAGCUAGCUUGACUGCGAGCGUGACGGCGCGAGCAGGUGCGAAAGCAGGUCAUAGUGAUCCGGUGGUUCUGAAUGGAAGGGCCAUCGCUCAACGGAUAAAAGGUACUCCGGGGAUAACAGGCUGAUACCGCCCAAGAGUUCAUAUCGACGGCGGUGUUUGGCACCUCGAUGUCGGCUCAUCACAUCCUGGGGCUGAAGUAGGUCCCAAGGGUAUGGCUGUUCGCCAUUUAAAGUGGUACGCGAGCUGGGUUUAGAACGUCGUGAGACAGUUCGGUCCCUAUCUGCCGUGGGCGCUGGAGAAUUGAGGGGGGCUGCUCCUAGUACGAGAGGACCGGAGUGGACGCAUCACUGGUGUUCGGGUUGUCAUGCCAAUGGCACUGCCCGGUAGCUAAAUGCGGAAGAGAUAAGUGCUGAAAGCAUCUAAGCACGAAACUUGCCCCGAGAUGAGUUCUCCCUGAGACUUUAAGUCUCCUGAAGGAACGUUGAAGACGACGACGUUGAUAGGCCGGGUGUGUAAGCGCAGCGAUGCGUUGAGCUAACCGGUACUAAUGAACCGUGAGGCUUAACCUU